AUGCCUUUUGGUUUAUGUAAUGCGCCUGCUACCUUUCAAAGAUGCAUGAUGGCUAUAUUCUCUGACUUUUGUGAAAAGAUUUGUGAGGUAUUCAUGGAUGAUUUCUUAGUUUAUGGAUCCUCCUUUGACGAUUGCUUGAGCAAUCUUGAUCGAGUUUUGCAGAGAUGCGAACACACUAGUCUCGUCUUGAAUUGGGAAAAGUGCCACUUUAUGGUUAAUGAAGGCAUUGUCUUGGGGCAUAAAAUUUCUGAAAGAGGUAUUGAAGUUGAUAAAGCUAAAGUUGAUGCUAUUGAAAAGAUGUCGUGUCCCAAGGAUAUUAAAGGUAUAAGAAGUUUCAUUGGUCAUGCCGGUUUCUAUAGGAGGUUCAUUAAGGAUUUUUCUAAAAUCUUUAGGCCUCUGACUAAUUUAUUGCAAAACGAUAUUACUUUUGUCUUCGUUGAUGAUUGUGUUGAAGCAUUUGAAAUACUUAAGAAAGCUUUGAUUUCUGCACCUAUUGUUCAACCACCUGAUUGGAACUUA
rnacentral:rRNA from 1 species